UCUGUAAGCUGUUCAUAACUCGGCUCUCAAACAGGGAAGCAAAAUCGAUCUUACCAAGCGAUUUGGAAAUAUCUUCAACCAUCUUUCUUCUGUCAGUUGAAUUCAGUUGCGCGAGUAGAUUAGACAAGGUUGUAUUCGUAUUCAAGCCUGAUAGUUGUCUGAGCAAAUUUGACAGGGUGCCGUUUAGGUUGCCCAGUUGACCAAGCCAUGAUGGUAGCUGGGUAUUACCUGGGGUAAAAAGGCAAAAACAUGCAGCUAGAAGCAACAGCGAUUUUGCUCCAAUGCAAGCCAUUGUUCAAAUGUACAACAACACAAAAAUACAGGUAAUAUAAAUGGCAAUAAAUGGUAAUAUGAUACUAUGAAAAUGUCAAAUAUGCAUGUAA